rnacentral:rRNA from 1 species
UACGGAGGGUGCGAGCGUUAAUCGGAAUUACUGGGCGUAAAGCGUGCGUAGGUGGUUAGAUAAGUUAUCUGUGAAAUCCCUGGGCUUAACCUGGGCAGGUCAGAUGAUACUGUUUGACUCGAGUAUGGGAGAGGGUAGUGGAAUUUCCGGUGUAGCGGUGAAAUGCGUAGAGAUCGGAAGGAACACCAGUGGCGAAGGCGGCUACCUGGCCUAAUACUGACACUGAGGCACGAAAGCGUGGGGAGCAAACAGG